GACGAACGCUGGCGGCGUGCCUAACACAUGCAAGUCGAACGAGUGGCGAACGGGUGAGUAAUGUAUGGGGACUGCCCGAUAGAGGGGGAUAACUACUGGAAACGGUGGAUAAUACCGCAUAUUGUCGGAUAACCCAUAUGGGAUUAGCUAGUAGGUAAAGUAAUGGCUUACCUAGGCGACGAUCCCUAGCUGCUCUGAGAGGAUGAUCAGCCACACUGGAACUGAGACACGGCCCAGACGCCUACGGAGGCAGCAGUGGGGAAUAUUGCACAAUGGGCGCAAGCCUGAUGCAGCCAUGCCGCGUGUAUGAAGAAGGCCCUAGGGUUGUAAAGUACUUUCAGUCGGGAGGCGUUACCGACAGAAGAAGCACCGGCUAACUCCGUGCCAGCAGCCGCGGUAAUAC
rnacentral:rRNA from 1 species